rnacentral:rRNA from 1 species
GAUAAACGCUGGCGGCGUGCAUGAGACAUGCAAGUCGAACGGACGAUCGAGCUUGCUCGAUCGUUAGUGGCGGACGGCUGAGUAACGCGUAGGUGACCUGCCCCGAAGUGGGGAAUAACUGCCCGAAAGGGUGGCUAAUACCGCAUGUGGUCGCACGUUCGGUUCGUGCGAGUAAAGCCGCAAGGCGCUUCGGGAGGGGCCUGCGUCCGAUUAGCUCGUUGGUGGGGUAAUGGCUCACCAAGGCGACGAUCGGUAGGUGGUCUGAGAGGACGAUCACCCAGACUGGGACUGAGACACGGCCCAGACUCCUACGGGAGGCAGCAGUCGGGAAUUUUGCUCAAUGGGCGCAAGCCUGAAGCAGCAACGCCGCGUGGGGGAUGAAGGCCUUCGGGUCGUAAACCCCUUUUGCCGAGGACGAUAAUGACGGUACUCGGUGAAUAAGCCACGGCUAACUACGUGCCAGCAGCCGCGGUAACAC